AAUCAACGCUGGCGGCGUGCCUAACACAUGCAAGUCGAACGCGAAAGGGGCUUCGGCCCUGAGUAGAGUGGCGUCCGGGUGAGUAACACGUGGGUAAUCUGCCUUCGGGUGGGGAAUAACCCAGGGAAACUUGGGCUAAUACCGCAUAAUGCAGCGGCACCUAAUGGUGAUUAGUUGUUAAAGCGGGGGAUCGCAAGACCUCGCGCCUGAAGAGGAGCCUGCGGCAGAUUAGCUAGUUGGUGAGGUAAUGGCUCACCAAGGCUUCGAUCUGUAGCUGGUCUGAGAGGACGGCCAGCCACACUGGCACUGACACACGGGCCAGACUCCUACGGGAGGCAGCAGUGGGGAAUUUUGGGCAAUGGGCGAAAGCCUGACCCAGCAACGCCGCGUGAGGGAGGAAAUCCUUCGGGAUGUAAACCUCACAAGCAAGGAAGAGAGCUGCGGGCUGAAUAAUCCUGCAGUGCGACGGUA
rnacentral:rRNA from 1 species